rnacentral:rRNA from 1 species
UACAGAGGCCCCAAGCGUUACUGAGAAUCACUGGGUUUAAAGGGUGCGUAGGUGGCGCGUUAAGUCCGUUGUGAAAUCCCUUGGCUCAACCAAGGAAAUGCUUCGGAUACUGGCGUGCUUGAGGCUAGUAAGGGGCACUGGAACUGACGGUGGAGCGGUGAAAUGCGUAGAUAUCGUCAGGAACGCCAAUGGUGAAGACAGGUGACUGGGCUAGUUCUGACACUGAGGCGCGAAAGCGUGGGGAGCGAACGGG